rnacentral:rRNA from 1 species
CGGAGCAUGCGGAUUAAUUCGAUGCAACGCGAAGAACCUUACCAAGGCUUGACAUACACCGGUAACGCCCAGAGAUGGGUGCCCCUUUGUGGUCGGUGUACAGGUGGUGCAUGGUUGUCGUCAGCUCGUGUCGUGAGAUGUUGGGUUAAGUCCCGCAACGAGCGCAACCCUCGUCCUAUGUUGCCAGCGGGUCAUGCCGGGGACUCAUGGGAGACUGCCGGGGUCAACUCGGAGGAAGGUGGGGAUGACGUCAAAUCAUCAUGCCCCUUAUGUCUUGGGCUUCACGCAUGCUACAAUGGCCGGUACAAAGGGCUGCGAUACCGCGAGGUGGAGCGAAUCCCAGAAAGCCGGUCUCAGUUCGGAUUGGGGUCCGCAACUCGACCCCAUGAAGUCGGAGUCGCUAGUAAUCGCAGAUCAGCAACGCUGCGGUGAAUACGUUCCCGGGCCUU